rnacentral:rRNA from 1 species
GACGAACGCUGGCGGCGUGCUUAACACAUGCAAGUCGAACGGAGAUAAUAGUAAUAUUAUCUUAGUGGCGGACGGGUGAGUAACGCGUGUGCAACUUGCCUCAGACUGGGGGAUAACACAGGGAAACUUGUGCUAAUACCGCAUAACAUCAGCGUAGGACAUCCGAUGAUGAUCAAAGGAGUAAUCCGGUUUGAGAUGGGCCCGCGGCCGAUGAGCUAGUUGGCGGGGAAAUGGACCACCACGGCGACGAUCGAUAGCCGAACUGAGAGGUUGAUCGGCCACAUUGGGACUGAGACACGGCCCAGACUCCUACGGGAGGCAGCAGUGGGGAAUAUUGCACAAUGGGGGAAACCCUGAUGCAGCAACGCCGCGUGAAGGAUGAAGGUUUUCGGAUUGUAAACUUCUUUGAUUGGGGACGAAUAAUGACGGUACCCAAAAAACAAGCCACGGCUAACUACGUGCCAGCAGCCGCCGCAG